GGAAAAGAUCGCAUUGAAGAACAGUAGAGAGAGAAAGAACAUUACAAGUUAAAUUAUUUACUUUAUUUUCGUGAAACAGUUUAAGAAUUUUAUUUUGUUUAAGUUGUGAUACCUUUGACAAGCCAGAUUCGUUUGAAAGAAGUCCCGGACAGUGUUAAUACUGUAAUUUUUCUGUCCUUUCCUCCGGUUGGUUUUUUUUAAGAGCUUGAUUCCCAACGAACUAUCGCCGAACUUCCCUGGGUGCACGCGCGGCCAGCAGCAGUGACUGAGGAGCGUCUGGCCACUUGUCUCCUACAGCCGCGUCUCGUUCUCCAUCCAGGCUCCAGAGAUAAGGAGAUCCAUUGCACACACCCGCACGUGGGACACACAAAAAAAAACAUACUACCCGGGUAGAUUGACACUUUUGGACGUUGAUAUUAUUUAUUUAUUUAUUUAAUUAUUUUAUUUUAUUUCUUUAAGCCAGAGCUCUGAGGUUUUCUUUUCUACUUUCUUAUUUCUUCUAUUUUUUCUAUUUAUUCUUCCUCCUUGAUGAAAAGGACAAUACCAAGGACAAUCUAAGGAGUCUAUACAGAGAAAAGAGUUCUCACUUGAGUGUUGUUUUUACAUGAAUAAAUGCCGGCAAUACUUUGAAACUUUA